GCUCCACACCUAUUAAGCCCACUCAUCCUAAAGCGCAUGCUCCACAACCAGAGAAGCCGCCACAAUGAGCAGCCCGAGCACCACAGUGAGGAGUAGCUGCCACUUGCCACAGCUAGAGAGAAGCCCAAGGAAAGCAGUGAAGACCCAACGCAGCUAAAAAUAGAUAAAACAUUGACGAUGCAGGGAAAUUUUCUAAUUUUUCAUGAAGUACUACGCUGAUCAUUGUGAAACAAUCCCAGGGCUGUCUUCACAAUGAAGGCCUACUAUUGCUAAGUCGCUUCAGUCGUGUCCGACUCUGUGCGACCCCAUAGACGGCAGCCCACCAGGCUCCCCCGUCCCUGGGAUUCUCCAGGCAAGAACACUGGAGUGGGUUGCCAUUUCCUUCUCCAAUGCAUGAAAGUGAAAAGUGAAAGUGAAGUCGCUCAGUCGUGUCUGACUCUUCAUGACCCCAUGGACUGCAGCCCACCAGGCUCCUCCACCCAUGGGAUUUUCCAGGCAAGAGUACUGCAGUGGGGUGCCAUUGCCUUCUCCAAGGCCUACUAUUAGAAAAGAUUAUAGACUGUUUCCCGAGAGUUGGACCACAAAGAAGGCUGAGCACCGAAGAACUGAUGCUUUCACAUUGUGGUGCUGGAGAAGACUCUUACAAGUCCCUUGGGCUGCAAGGAGAUCAAACCAGUUCAUCCUAAAGGAAAUAAACCCUGAAUAUUUAUUGGAAGGACUGAUGCUGAAGCUGUAGCUCCAAUACUUUGGUCACCUGAUGUGAAGAGCUAACUCACUGGAAACAACCCUGAUGUUGGGAAAGAUUGAAGGCAAAAGAAAGGGGCAGCAGAGGAUGAGAUGGUUAUAUAGUAUCACUGACUCAAUGGACAUGAGUCGAGCAAACUCUAGAAGAGUGUGGAGGAUAGAGGAGCCCUGUGUGCUACAGUCCAUGGGAUUGCAAAGAGAAACUGAACAGUAAUCUUCUCCCCUACCUUUUAUCUUCAUACCAAUAGAGCUGCAGAAAAAAGAACUGCCAGACUUUCUCUAAGGAGGAGUACGUAGCUGUGAAGCCCCAAGAGAAGGGGAGAGACAAAAACAGGACAGUGGAGGGAUCAGAAGUCUCUGACAGCGUACGCAGCAAACAUUAAACCCAGAUUUGAAUAACUGUUCUUACCAAAAGCCCAUUUGUCAGUCCCUAACACCCACCACAAGUCCAGCCUCGCACAACAUCUUGUAAGAAAUGCCAAAAGUCAGGGAAAACAAAAGUCUAUGCAGUCAUCAGACUCAGAAGAAAUUAUCAGACAGAAAUUUAAAACAGCUAUGAUUAGGAUGUUAAGGAAAAAAUAGACAACAUAAAAGAGAGAGAGAAAGAGAUAGAUGGAAACGUUAAGAAAGACACAAAAGGAGAUGCUAGAAAGCAAAAAGCUGGUAGAAUGCCUUUGGUGGGUUCAUCAGCAGACUUGAUGCAGCCAAGGAAAAAAUCAUAAUUGGUGAGCUUGAGGACAUGUCAACAGAAACUUCCCAAACUGAAAUGCAAAGAGAAUGGAAGGAAAAAGAAAUCAAUACAGAAUAUCUAAGAGCUCUGGGAUAAUUUCAAAAGGUGUAAUAUAUGCAUAAUUCAAAUACCAGUAGCA
ensembl:lncRNA